CUGGAACGCGCCUUAGGCGCACCCAGAAACCCUUUGUGAACUUAUACCUUACUGUUGCCUCGGCGCAUGCUGGCCCCCUCGGGGGCCCCCUGGAGACAGGGAGCAGGCACGCCGGCGGCCAAGUUAACUCUUGUUUUUACACUGAAACUCUGAGAAAAAAACACAAAUGAAUCAAAACUUUCAACAACGGAUCUCUUGGUUCUGGCAUCGAUGAAGAACGCAGCGAAAUGCGAUAAGUAAUGUGAAUUGCAGAAUUCAGUGAAUCAUCGAAUCUUUGAACGCACAUUGCGCCCUCUGGUAUUCCGGAGGGCAUGCCUGUUCGAGCGUCAUUUCAACCCUCAAGCAUUGCUUGGUGUUGGGGCACUGCCUGUAAAAGGGCAGGCCCUGAAAUCUAGUGGCGAGCUCGCUAGGACCCCGAGCGUAGUAGUUAAACCCUCGCUUUGGAAGGCCCUGGCGGUGCCCUGCCGUUAAACCCCCAACUUUUGAAAAU
rnacentral:rRNA from 3 species